rnacentral:rRNA from 1 species
CUCGAGUGGCGAACGGGUGAGUAACACGUGGGUGAUCUGCCCUGCACUUCGGGAUAAGCCUGGGAAACUGGGUCUAAUACCGGAUAGGAGCCAUUUUUAGUGUGAUGGUUGGAAAGUUUUUUCGGUGUAGGAUGAGCUCGCGGCCUAUCAGCUUGUUGGUGGGGUAAUGGCCUACCAAGGCGGCGACGGGUAGCCGGCCUGAGAGGGUGGACGGCCACAUUGGGACUGAGAUACGGCCCAGACUCCUACGGGAGGCAGCAGUGGGGAAUAUUGCACAAUGGGCGCAAGCCUGAUGCAGCGACGCCGCGUGGGGGAUGACGGCCUUCGGGUUGUAAACUCCUUUCGCUAGGGACGAAGCUUUUUGUGACGGUACCUAGAUAAGAAGCACCGGCUAACUACGUGCCAGCAGCCGCGGUAAUACGUAGGGUGCGAGCGUUGUCCGGAACUACUGGGCGUAAAGGGCUCGUAGGUGGUUUGUCGCGUCGUCUGUGAAAUUCCGGGGCUUAACUCCGGGCGUGCAGGCGAUACGGGCAUAACUUGAGUACUGUAGGGGUAACUGGAAUUCCUGGUGUAGCGGUGAAAUGCGCAGAUAUCAG